rnacentral:tRNA from 1 species
ACUGCAGUGGUGUAGUGGUUAACGCUCCAGUUUUUUCCCUUUGGGAGUCUCAGGUUCGAUCCCUGGCGUCUGUU